UUUUUUUUUCCUUUUUUGG
rnacentral:sRNA from 1 species